rnacentral:rRNA from 1 species
AGCGAACGCUGGCGGCAGGCCUAACACAUGCAAGUCGAACGAAGCCUUCGGACUUAGUGGCGGACGGGUGAGUAACACGUGGGAACGUGCCUUUAGGUUCGGAAUAACUCAGGGAAACUUGUGCUAAUACAGAAUGUGCCCUUCGGGGGAAAGAUUUAUCGCCUUUAGAGCGGCCCGCGUCUGAUUAGCUAGUUGGUGAGGUAAAGGCUCACCAAGGCUACGAUCAGUAGCUGGUCUGAGAGGAUGACCAGCCACAUUGGGACUGAGACACGGCCCAAACUCCUACGGGAGGCAGCAGUGGGGAAUCUUGCGCAAUGGGCGAAAGCCUGACGCAGCCAUGCCGCGUGGAUGAUGAAGGUCUUAGGAUUGUAAAAUCCUUUCACCGGUGAAGAUAAUGACUGUAGCCGGAGAAGAAGCCCCGGCUAACUUCGUGCCAGCCGCCGCCGUAAUAC